rnacentral:misc_RNA from 1 species
AAAAGUCGUAACAAGGUUUCCGUAGGUGAACCUGCGGAAGGAUCAUUAACACGAAACUUUUUUACAAUUUUGUAAAAAAUGUUUUACAACUAAACCUGUGCUCUUUCUUUUUUUCACACCUUCAACCCUUUAAUUUUAAUAAUUUUUUUUUUGUCCAAAGAACACAGUUUUUUGGUUACAACUUAAAUAAAGUUGAACAUACAACUGUUAACAAUGGAUAUCUAGGCUCUC